GAGGCUCUUCCACAUCCUGCUGCUACCUCUCUGCCUGCUCUUUGCCCAGGUGGGCCCAGCCACAGUGGUCACCAACCUCAGACAAGAGCACAGACCUCAGACAGAAAACAAAGAGCUGAGUCAGAGGAAAAAGGCCUCAGACCGAGGGCACAGACCUCAGACGGAAACAAAGACCUGAGGCAGAGGAAAAAGGCCUCAGACGGAGGGCACAGGCCUCAGACGGAGGGCACAGGCCUCAGACGGAGGGUACAGGCCUCAGACGGAGGACAGACAUCAGACGGAGACCUCAGACGGAGGGCAUAGACCUCAGACGGAGGGCACAGUUCUUUGCAUGAGCAGCCCCAGAGGUACUGGCCUCCUCGCGAGUCUGAUAUACAGGAAUCCAGAAUACAUAUGUGCCAAAAAGGGG